UACGUAGGGUGCAAGCGUUAAUCGGAAUUACUGGGCGUAAAGCGUGCGCAGGCGGUUAUGCAAGACAGAUGUGAAAUCCCCGGGCUCAACCUGGGAAUGGCAUUUGGGACUGCAAGGCUCGAGUGCGGCAGAGGAGACUGGAAUUCCUGGUGUAGCAGUGAAAUGCGUAGAUAUCAGGAGGAACACCGAUGGCGAAGGCAGGUCUCUGGGCUGACACUGACGCUCAUGCACGAAAGCGUGGGGAGCAAACAGG
rnacentral:rRNA from 1 species